AGAAAAUUUGAGUGUGCGGAACUUGGGAGAAUCCACCCACACCAAGAAAUGGCAAAAUGAUUUUGCCUUGAGAAAACUCACACCCUUGGAAAGAAAAAGAGAAAGAAUUAGCUUGGAAGCAAAAAGAGAAAGGAAGAAAAGAGAAAGAAAGGAGAAAGAAAAAAAAGAUAAGGAAGGUUUAACCUAGUGGUUCCAAGCUAAGGAAGCAAACGUCUUCCAAGAAUUGAAAGAAAUAAAUGCAUGCAUAGAGGUGGAUCUUGGAAUGUAUGGUGAUUUUGAGCUAGAUAAGCAAUGGCAAUGAUGACCAUGGAUGGGAGGAAAUUGUGAACCAUAUGUGGAACUCAAGCUAAAACUGAGAGAUAUAAUCAGCUCAAGUGCAUUGCUCAACACCUUGAGACUUGCUGCAACAUAGGUUUGGAACUUUCAUGAGGUAAGUUAUAAAAAACAAAAAAAGACGUUGUAGCUUUAUUUACUCAGUGUCGCGGCCUGGCGCAUUAAGCCUUAUCUCAUACAAAAACCCAAAAAGAAGCUAUUGUGGUGCUAUAAAGUCAACUCCAUGAUGUUGACCAUUUAACUAAACCCAUAUAUUGGGCUAGAGCUAAAACGCCACGAUGUUGUGUAACAAGGCUUUUCUUUAAAGGCUCAAAAUUUUUUCCUUUCUCUCAUCUCUCUUCAUAUUUUAGGGUUCUUUUCUCUCUCUACCCUUUACACUUCUUCUUCUUUCUUCCAUCCACUUCACACCCAUUCAUAAUUUUUGCAUUUUCUCACUUCUUUGUGAUAAGUAAGGGUAUUCUUCCAUUCAUUCUCUAAUUUUUUGCGUUGUUCAAUUAAGUGAGUCAAGUUCUUUCACUCUUUUUUUUUUCAGAUUUGUUAGCUAGGAAUAUUGUGGGAAUGUUUGAUGUUAAUUGAUGAAUGGGUUGCUCGAAUCUAUGCUAGUAUAACUUAGGUGUGUUGGGUUUUCUUUAUCUUUCCUAGAUUUGUGAUGAACUUAGUUUUGUUUUUUUGGUGAGUAUGAAUAAUGCCCAUUAAUAUUUGCAUUGGCAUAGAAUUAGUGAGAUGGUAUAAUGGUAUUUUCAAAUAAUAAUAUAUCAUUGAAUGAGGAAUUUACUUGGACUGUUGUUGCUUGUUUUAAGAGGAAGUAUUUUUUAUUUGAACAAAAUGGCCCCCAAGAAAACAACUCACGAGAGUGGUAGUAGGACUCGAUUCAAUCGUAGCAAAUUUGUGUUUACUGAUGCCGUUGAGAGACAUACACAAUCACUGAUGCAUAAAGUCCCAAUUCCAGAGCGGGGCAUUGAUUUCCAUCUUAAGUUAUAUGGUUUGGUUCAUAAGGUCAUCACUGAGCCACAAUGGGAGCAAUUUUGUGAAUAACCUGAGGUCGUUGUCUUACUAGUGGUUCAUGAAUUCUAUGCCAAUUCCAUUGAGCACGUUCAUGGCCAAGUGUUUGUAUGAUGAUGUCAAGUUCGUUUUGAUAGUGCAACCAUCAAUCAAAUUUAUAGGUUACCUAAUAUUGAGCAUGAUGACUAUAACCAAUUCUUGAUGGGCUACAUUGAUUUGGAUGGGGUUUUUGGUGUGCUUUGUGAUGAGAGGGUGGAAUGGAAAAUGACAAAAGGCGUACCUCUGUCUUUUAAGGCCAAUACCAUGAAGACAUUUCAUAAGAUCUAGUAUCACUUUUUAACUUUAAGGCUGCUUCCUAUGAAACAUAUUAGUGAUGUGAAAUGAGAUCGAGCUAUUUUGUGAUAUGCAAUUACUUAUGGCAUGUCAAUCAAUGUCGGCCAAGUGAUAUUCAAUAGCAUUGUUCAAGUGACCUAUUCACUUAAGGAUAAGCUCUAGUAUCCCUUGUUGAUCACUGCCCUGUGUACGAAAGUGGGUGUUAGUUGGGAUAAAAAUGAAGAAAUCUUGCAACCGAAAGCACCAUUGGAUGCCAGAAUUGUGAAUCAAUUUUAUGCUCGCGAGUUACCAGCUGCCGAUGAUAGUUCUUCUUCAGUUCCACAUCAUCUUUCACCUUGGAGGCCACCUCAACAUCUAUCCAUGUCUCAGAGGAUGGAAUGACUUUGAGCUUUGAAUGGAUUAUUAGGCCGAAUGUAUGCAAUCCAUGGAGUAAAUGAUGCGUACUUAUGCUAAACAUGUUGGUAUGGUAUGAGAUGUUUUCCUAUGCUCCCCAAUGAUCCCACAGCGAGAGGACUUACCAGAUGACAAUGAGGUCGAGGAUAUCUAGAGACAACCUGCCAGUGAAGGGAGUUUUCCUUUACCUUACUUUAUUUAACAUUGAGGACAAUGUUAUUUUUAAGUUUGGGGGAAAUUUUAAGUUAGUGGUUAAAGUAGUAAAUUUUAAUUUAAAUUGAUACAUGUGCAUUUGCAUUUGAACUAGAUUUAAUUGUGCCAUUUCCGUUUAGUUUACCUAUCCAAUGAUAAUAACAUAGUUUCAUGCUUAUUUUGAUUAUUCGAAACAUAUGAAUAUUGUUUGAGAGUUAUAUAAAUUCUUAUGCUAAGCUUUAUUGUUAAGAUGAAAUCUUUACAUUUUGAGCACCAUGUUUAUUGCUUAGAUUCAUUAUAUGAAUUUAGAGAAGGUUUAUGUGAAUGUGAAAAUUUUGAAUUAUAUAUUAAGUUCUAGAAUUUGUUUGAUUCUCUCUCGAGGUGAAAUUCUAGAUUACACUUGGUCAAAAGAAAUGAUUUAGGCUAUUUUUGGACCGAUUGAGCCUUUUGUAGCUUUUCUUUGCAUAAAUUAUCCUUAGUUUUCCCCUUUAAGCCUAAUGACAUCUUUUCUUUGUUUGAACACUUAAUUUUUAGCCUAGACUCCUAUAUUAAUGUUUUCAACUAUUAUUGCAUCCCUCAUUCCUAAGCGCAUAAGUCAAUUUAAGAAGUUUUUUGAGCUGCAUAAUGAAAAAGGUAGUCAAGAUGAAAAAUGAAGAAAAGUUCAAAAUAUGAUUGUAUUCAUCUCACUAUCGAAUCAAAGAAAUAAGUUUGGGGGUGUGAAAUUGAGAAAAAGAAAAAGGGAAAGAAAAAAGAAGAAAAAGGAUGAAGUGAUGAACAAAAGAAAAGUCUUGAUGAAAAGGGGUAUAUUAGGAGAAGGAAGAUAAAGCUCUUAAUAGAGUGACUAUGUGCUUAGGAUGAUUUGAGCCAUGCAUUGUUCCAUAUCUCACCUUGACCUUAGCCAUACAUUACAAGCUAAUUAAAAUCCUAUUGAUCCUUGAUUUAGUGUUAGUCUACAUUAGUGGAGAGAGAGAUAAAAAGUAAACUUAUGAAAUUUCAUUACUAAUUUUGAAUUUUGCAUGAAUAUAAACUUAUCCAGAUUGUACAAUGUAUAGGUGAGAAGAUUGUACACACACAUGGAAAUUCACUUAUAAUAAGCUUGCAUUUGAAUUAAGACAUGAACUUGAAUAAUAUUUGUAUGUGGAUUAUAGUUAUGAAUAUGGAGGAACUUUUGAGGAUAUUAAAAGUAAAUAAUGAAAUGGAGCAAUUGAACUCUAGUUAAAUGUUUUUAUGUUGAGGUUAUUACAUUUAGUUCUAUGUUUUGCUCAAGGACUUGUAAAAUCUUGAGUUUAGGGGUUUAAUAAUUAUGUUAUAUAAAGUUAUUUUUAACACAUUUUAGAGACUUUAGUAGUUAGACUUUUGAGUUUUAGGUUUGGUUUGAGCAUUUUAAUUGUUCUUCUAAGUUAAGUUAGAUUAUAUGUUGAAUAGUUAGAUUAAGUUGUUUUAGUUUAGUUUACUUUAAGAAGAGUUAAUGUCGAUUUCUCUCAUGGUUAUGUGCAAGAUAUGUGAUAAGUAAAGUGAAAUUAAGUUAUGAUAGCGCAAGCAUGGUGAAGGCGUCACUCACACAUACUGCGAUAAUUUAAAGAUAACUUGAGUUAUAGAAGUCCAAUUGAUGUGAUUUUUGAUUCAUUAGAAAGUUAAUAGAAUGGGAUAGAACUUUCAUGUUUACAACUUUGACUAGUUUGAACGAAAUCCAGGUGAAAAUCAUGUUGAAGAUGAUAGACAAAUGUAGACUACACACAAGGCAGCAUGGUAACUGAGGUUGCGGGGCUGAGUCACUCAAGGGCGUGAUGUUGAAGGGACCAUUGCCACAGCGUUGGAAGCUUGUGGCCACGGUGUUGGGUUGGAUAGACACAUCAUACUAAAGGCCAAGAGAAUGGUGGCGUGGAGCCAGAAAAAGAGCACCACAACACAACCAAAGCUUGUCAUGGCACGACGACACCAAGGAAUCAUGGUCGUGCCGCCACCUUGGUUACCAAAAUUAAAAAUUUUGACAGCAAGUUGGAAAGUAGGGCAUCUUGCACAUAUUUAAGAGGCUUUUUGAGAGUAUUCAGAAGGAAAAAUGAGAGAAACUUUUUUGGAGAAUUGGAGUUAAGAAUUAAGCAAGAAUUCAAGAGCAAUUGAGAGAGAUUGGCAAUCAAUCAGGCUUCGAUAUUAGUUUAU